UGUCUUGGGACUUGGGGUUAUGAGACUGGGCAAAUCCGUUUAGAGGUGGCUUGUUGGAUCCCCUUCUUCAAGUUGUUUCUUUUUCAUAGUUUUGGAAUCUGGAUUCAGAAAUCAAUUCCCAAAGACAGUCCUCACCAGAUGUCUUUUAUGGUAUGGUUGCAACAGAGGGGAGAGACAGAUAGCUGCAGCCGAUACCUUCGAUACAGGAGAGUUUUUCAGAUUGAACCCACAAAAAUGAUAGCAAAAUUGCAGGCAUUGAUCUGAAAUUCUACUUUUGUAUUACAAAAAAUGGAAAUAGGACAUUUUGUGUGUGUCUUCCCCUUCAUUUCCUCCCCUCCCACUCAAUCUCUGGAAACAAUGGAACUUAUACAUUUCUCUUUCCAUUUCCCCAUCUUCCUUAUGGGACGUACGAAGGAUUAGGGUCCCUAUAGUGGUACUCUUUUGCAGAGCCAAACCCCACUGCACCAACAUGAAACUUGGAGUUGCAGAGCCAGAAGAGGUGGCGAACGAAAGAACAAUCAAUCGUCUUCCAUCUGAAUCAUCAUAUAUAUAUAAAAUUGGGUAUCAUUGAUCUUCCGAACUCGAACUGUUAACCCAUGGCUGCGUUUCUCCUAGUUUCGCGGGAUUCAUCUCUGCAUCGGAGGGUUUCAUCCCUCUCACCGUCGUCUGUAAUAGUGUCACCGUCAUCUCCGCGAGUUCGGAGAGCUUCGUCCCUCUCACUCAAGAGAAGCAAGAUAAACACUGCUAUAACUCCUUUUAUGGAAGAAAAGACACCUCCCUUGGACCUUUUUUAUUCUACUGCUGAGCUCAUAGACUCCCGCUCGACUCAACAGAAUAUAGAGGGUGAUGAUGAUGUUAUCUCACCAGAAAUGGGAUAGGAUGAUUGCGCUGGUGUUCAAUUUCAGAUCAUUGAUCCAAUGCCGACUAGCUCCUCUAUAAGCAGUUUUUUCUGAACUAGUUUUGUGAUCUAAAGUUCCAAUUCCAAGACUCCCCAAGUUUUUUCUUUC